AGUGAACGCUGGCGGUAGGCCUAACACAUGCAAGUCGAACGGCAGCACAGUAAGAGCUUGCUCUUACGGGUGGCGAGUGGCGGACGGGUGAGGAAUACAUCGGAAUCUACUUUUUCGUGGGGGAUAACGUAGGGAAACUUACGCUAAUACAGCAUACGACCUACGGGUGAAAGCAGGGGAUCUUCGGACCUUGCGCGAUUGAAUGAGCCGAUGUUGGAUUAGCUAGUUGGCGGGGUAAAGGCCCACCAAGGCGACGAUCCGUAGCUGGUCUGAGAGGAUGAUCAGCCACACUGGAACUGAGACACGGUCCAGACUCCUACGGGAGGCAGCAGUGGGGAAUAUUGGACAAAGGGCGCAAGCCUGAUCCAGCCAUACCGCGUGGGUGAAGAAGGCCUUCGGGUUGUAAAGCCCUUUUGUUGGGAAAGAAAAGCAGCAGGUUAAUACCCCGCUGUUCUGACGGUACCCAAAGAAUAAGCACCGGCUAACUUCGUG
rnacentral:rRNA from 1 species